UACAGAGGGUGCAAGCGUUAUUCGGAAUGACUGGGCGUAAAGGGCGCGUAGGCGGUAGAAUAGGUUAGAUGUGAAAUACCAGGGCUUAACCCUGGGGGGUCAUUUAAAACGGUUUUACUGGAAGACAGGAGGGGGUGGCGAAAUUUCCGGAGUAGCGGUGAAAUGCGUAGAUACCGGAAAGAAGACUCGAGGCGAAGGCGGUCACCUGGCCUGAAUUUGACGCUGAGGCGCGAAAGCGUGGGGAGCAAACAGG
rnacentral:rRNA from 1 species